rnacentral:rRNA from 1 species
UACGGGGGGGCAAGCGUUAAUCGGAAUUACUGGGCGUAAAGCGUGCGCAGGCGGCGCGUUAAGACAGGUGUGAAAGCCCCGAGCUUAACUUGGGAAUUGCGCUUGUGACUGGCGUGCUGGAGUGUGGCAGAGGGAGGUGGAAUUCCACGUGUAGCAGUGAAAUGCGUAGAGAUGUGGAGGAACACCGAUGGCGAAGGCAGCCUCCUGGGCCAGCACUGACGCUCAUGCACGAAAGCGUGGGGAGCAAACAGG